rnacentral:rRNA from 1 species
CUGCAUGAAGUCGGAAUUGCUAGUAAUCGCGGAUCAGCAUGCCGCGGUGAAUACGUUCCCGGGCCUUGUACACACCGCCCGUCACACCAUGGGAGCCGGUAACACCCGAAGUCAGUAGUCUAACCGCAAGGAGGACGCUGCCGAAGGUGGGAUUAGCGACUGGGGUGAAGUCGUAACAAGGUAAC